ACAGGACUCAGAAGCUGCUAUCGAAAAACCCAAAGAAUCCUUAUGAGGAGUCGAGCAGAGACGUGAGGAGUCGCAGGCCUGCUGACACUGAGGAUGGGAUGUCCUCUUGCCCUCAACCUUGGUUUGUGGUUAUAAAAGAACACCAAGACCUCAAGAAUGGGGGUCAACCAGUGGCUGGUGAGGAUGGCCAGGCAGCAGAUGGGUCAAUGCAACCAACUUCAUGGAGGCAGGAGCCCCGGUUAUGUGGAAUGGGCACAGAGCAAGGCUGCUGGAUUCCAGUAUCCAGUGAUAAGGGCUCCUGUCCCCAGGUAAUGGAGCGAAGCUUUCAUAUGCCCUCUUAUGGGACACAGACCCUUGAAGGGGGUGUCGAGAAGCCCCAUUCUCUCCUAUCAGCUAACCCAUUAUGGCAACAAAGGGCCCUGGACCCACCACACCAAAUGGAGCUGACUCAGUGAAAACUGGAAUUAAAAGGAAAGUCAAGAAGAAUGAAC
rnacentral:sRNA from 1 species